rnacentral:rRNA from 1 species
GACGAACGCUGGCGGCGUGCUUAACACAUGCAAGUCGAACGGUGAAGGGAUCAGCUUGCUGGUUCUGGCUGAGUGGCGAACGGGUGAGUAACACGUGAGUAACCUGCCCCCUUCUUCUGGAUAACCGCAUGAAAGUGUGGCUAAUACGGGAUAUUCUGGGUCUGUCGCAUGAUGGGUCUGGGAAAGAUAUUGUUUCGGUGGGGGAUGGGCUCGCGGCCUAUCAGCUUGUUGGUGGGGUGAUGGCCUACCAAGGCGGUGACGGGUAGCCGGCCUGAGAGGGUGGACGGUCACACUGGGACUGAGACACGGCCCAGACUCCUACGGGAGGCAGCAGUGGGGAAUAUUGCACAAUGGGCGCAAGCCUGAUGCAGCGACGCCGCGUGAGGGAUGGAGGCCUUCGGGUUGUAAACCUCUUUCGCCAGUGAAGCAGGCCUGCUCCUUGUGGGUGGGUGGACGGUAGCUGGAUAAGAAGCGCCGGCUAACUACGU